ensembl:snRNA U6 U6 spliceosomal RNA
GUGCUCACCUCAGCCACACACAUACUAAACUAGGAACGAUACGGGGAAGAUAACCAUGGCCCAUGUGCAAAGGGGACAAGCAAACCUGGGACACGUUCCAUAUUUCA